rnacentral:lncRNA from 1 species
GCGCGUUUCGUCUACAUAAGACUCAUCAGUGAAGCUCAUAUCAAAAUACUUGUAAAUCCAAAAAAGUACAAAGUUGAAGAGCAUUGAGGAUCCAAAAUUCCAAAAAGUUUUGCCACAUACGGCUAAAGUAAUCUAUACCUGGGAUAAGAAAAUCAGAGAUACAGUGUUAAACACUGUUUGAUUUAUUGUGACAUCACAAAAAAGUGUGAGUAACAAUUUUUGUUAUAUUUAUUGUAAUUCUCCACGCUCAAUUUGGUUGUAUUAAUUAAGUUCUUGUUUUGUUGUGAUUUAUUACUGAAAAUAAGCA